UUAAGUGACUAAGCGUACACGGUGGAUGCCUAGGCAGUCAGAGGCGAUGAAGGGCGUGCUAAUCUGCGAAAAGCGUCGGUAAGGUGAUAUGAACCGUUAUAACCGGCGAUACCCGAAUGGGGAAACCCAGUGUGUUUCGACACACUAUCAUGUCAUGAAUACAUAGUGGCAUGAGGCGAACCGGGGGAACUGAAACAUCUAAGUACCCCGAGGAAAAGAAAUCAACCGAGAUUCCCCCAGUAGCGGCGAGCGAACGGGGAGGAGCCCAGAACCUGAAUCGGCUUGUGUGUUAGUGGAAGCGUCUGGAAAGUCGCGCAGCAAAGGGUGAUAGCCCCGUACACUAAAAUGCACAGGUCGUGAGUUCGAUGAGUAGGGCGGGACACGUGACAUCCUGUCUGAAUAUGGGGGGACCAUCCUCCAAGGCUAAAUACUCCUGACUGACCGAUAGUGAACCAGUACCGUGAGGGAAAGGCGAAAAGAACCCCGGCGAGGGGAGUGAAAUAGAACCUGAAACCGUGUACGUACAAGCAGUGGGAGCACCUUCGUGGUGUGACUGCGUACCUUUUGUAUAAUGGGUCAGCGACUUAUAUUUUGUAGCAAGGUUAACCGUAUAGGGGAGCCGUAGGGAAACCGAGUCUUAACUGGGCGAAUAGUUGCAAGGUAUAGACCCGAAACCCGGUGAUCUAGCCAUGGGCAGGUUGAAGGUUGGGUAACACUAACUGGAGGACCGAACCGACUAAUGUUGAAAAAUUAGCGGAUGACUUGUGGCUGGGGGUGAAAGGCCAAUCAAACCGGGAGAUAGCUGGUUCUCCCCGAAAGCUAUUUAGGUAGCGCCUCGUGAACUCAUCUUCGGGGGUAGAGCACUGUUUCGGCUAGGGGGCCAUCCCGGCUUACCAAACCGAUGCAAACUCCGAAUACCGAAGAAUGUUAUCACGGGAGACACACGGCGGGUGCUAACGUCCGUCGUGAAGAGGGAAACAACCCAGACCGCCAGCUAAGGUCCCAAAGUCAUGGUUAAGUGGGAAACGAUGUGGGAAGGCACAGACAGCCAGGAUGUUGGCUUAGAAGCAGCCAUCAUUUAAAGAAAGCGUAAUAGCUCACUGGUCGAGUCGGCCUGCGCGGAAGAUGUAACGGGGCUAAACCAUGCACCGAAGCUGCGGCAGCGACGCUUAGGCGUUGUUGGGUAGGGGAGCGUUCUGUAAGCCGUUGAAGGUGGCCUGUGAGGGUUGCUGGAGGUAUCAGAAGUGCGAAUGCUGACAUAAGUAACGAUAAAGCGGGUGAAAAGCCCGCUCGCCGGAAGACCAAGGGUUCCUGUCCAACGUUAAUCGGGGCAGGGUGAGUCGACCCCUAAGGCGAGGCUGAAAAGCGUAGUCGAUGGGAAACAGGUUAAUAUUCCUGUACUUGGUGUUACUGCGAAGGGGGGACGGAGAAGGCUAGGCUGGCCGGGCGACGGUUGUCCCGGUUUAAGCGUGUAGGGGGUGUGACCUGGUAAAUCCGGUUGCAUAUCAACCCUGAGGCGUGAUGACGAUGCACUACGGUGCAGAAGUAGUUGAUGCCCUGCUUCCAGGAAAAUCCUCUAAGCUCCAGGUAACAUUGAAUCGUACCCCAAACCGACACAGGUGGUCAGGUAGAGAAUACCAAGGCGCUUGAGAGAACUCGGGUGAAGGAACUAGGCAAAAUGGUGCCGUAACUUCGGGAGAAGGCACGCUGGCAUGUAGGUGAAGUCCCUUGCGGAUGGAGCUGAAGCCAGUCGAAGAUACCAGCUGGCUGCAACUGUUUAAUAAAAACACAGCACUGUGCAAACACGAAAGUGGACGUAUACGGUGUGACGCCUGCCCGGUGCUGGAAGGUUAAUUGAUGGGGUCAGCCGCAAGGCGAAGCUCUUGAUCGAAGCCCCAGUAAACGGCGGCCGUAACUAUAACGGUCCUAAGGUAGCGAAAUUCCUUGUCGGGUAAGUUCCGACCUGCACGAAUGGCGUAAUGAUGGCCAGGCUGUCUCCACCCGAGACUCAGUGAAAUUGAACUCGCUGUGAAGAUGCAGUGUACCCGCGGCAAGACGGAAAGACCCCGUGAACCUUUACUAUAGCUUGACACUGAACAUUGAGCCUUGAUGUGUAGGAUAGGUGGGAGGCUUUGAAGCGUGGACGCCAGUCUGCGUGGAGCCAUCCUUGAAAUACCACCCUUUAAUGUUUGAUGUUCUAACUCGGCCCCGUGAUCCGGGGUGAGGACAGUGUCUGGUGGGUAGUUUGACUGGGGCGGUCUCCUCCCAAAGAGUAACGGAGGAGCACGAAGGUUAGCUAAUCACGGUCGGACAUCGUGAGGUUAGUGCAAAGGCAUAAGCUAGCUUGACUGCGAGAGUGACGGCUCGAGCAGGUACGAAAGUAGGUCUUAGUGAUCCGGUGGUUCUGAAUGGAAGGGCCAUCGCUCAACGGAUAAAAGGUACUCCGGGGAUAACAGGCUGAUACCGCCCAAGAGUUCAUAUCGACGGCGGUGUUUGGCACCUCGAUGUCGGCUCAUCACAUCCUGGGGCUGAAGUAGGUCCCAAGGGUAUGGCUGUUCGCCAUUUAAAGUGGUACGCGAGCUGGGUUUAGAACGUCGUGAGACAGUUCGGUCCCUAUCUGCCGUGGGCGUUGGAAGAUUGAGAGGGGUUGCUCCUAGUACGAGAGGACCGGAGUGAACGCACCACUGGUGUUCGGGUUGUCAUGCCAAUGGCAUUGCCCGGUAGCUAAGUGCGGAAAAGAUAAGCGCUGAAAGCAUCUAAGCGCGAAACUUGCCUCAAGAUGAGUCUUCCCUGGGCCUUUAAGGCCCCUGAAGGAACGUUUAAGACUAAGACGUUGAUAGGCUGGGUGUGUAAGUGCAGCGAUGCAUUGAGCUAACCAGUACUAAUGAUCCGUGAGGCUUAACCU
rnacentral:rRNA from 1 species